rnacentral:lncRNA from 1 species
UUCUUUUCAGGUCUACUUUUGAUCUUUCUUCUCUCUGGAAAACAGAAUAAUUUUUGGUAUGUCAAAUUCAGACUUUUUCCAAGUGAAGGAAGAAGAUGAUAAAAAAAAUAUAUCCAGUGAUGACAUACAACUUCCCACGUCCAACAAUCCAGAUAGGUGCAUAGAUAUUGCACCUAGUCAACAUGAUAGCGUUGACGCAAAACAAGAUGAAAAUAAUCCAGAUGAUAAUGAUGGUGAUGAUAAUAUCAAGAAAAAAGAAAUAUUUCGUGAGGAAAACUGUUCAGAG